rnacentral:ncRNA from 1 species
AUAAAUGAGCGGUAAGACCUUUGUGGGUUGUUCUGUGUGUUCCCUUCCAUAGGUUGGCCACAGCACAGACGCAACAGGCCCGCAGGGCACGCUCUUUUU